GCCCGGUUAGCUCAAUCGGUAGAGCGUGAGACUCUUAUUCGAGCACACGUUCUGAACAAUCUCAAGGUUGCGGGUUCGACCCCCGCAUCGGGCU
rnacentral:tRNA from 1 species